rnacentral:rRNA from 1 species
ACACAUGCAGUCGAACGGCAGCACAGGAGAGCUUGCUCUCUGGGGUGGCGAGUGGCGGACGGGUGAGGAAUACAUCGGAAUCUACUCUGUCGUGGGGGAUAACGUAGGGAAACUUACGCUAAUACCGCAUACGACCUACGAAUAAAAGCCAGGGGACCUUCGGGCCUUGCGCGAAAUUGAAUGAGCCCAUGUGUCGGAUUAGCUUAGCUAUUGGCGGGGUAAAGGCCCACCAAGGCGACGAUCCGUAGCUGGUCUGAGAGGAUGAUCAGCCACACUGGAACUGAGACACGUCCAGACUCCUACGGGAGGCAGCAGUGGGGAAUAUUGGACAAUGGGCGCAAGCCUGAUCCAGCCAUACCGCGUGGGUGAAGAAGGCCUUCGGGUUGUAAAGCCCUUUUGUUGGGAAAGAAAUCCAGCUGGCUAAUACCGGUUGGGAUGACGGUACCCAAAGAAUAAGCACCGGCUAACUUCGUGCCAGCAGCCGCGGUAAUACGAAGGGUGCAAGCGUUACUCGGAAUUACUGGGCGUAAAGCGUGCGUAGGUGGUCGUUUAAGUCCGUUGUGAAAGCCCUGGGCUCAACCUGGGAACUGCAGUGGAUACUGGGCGACUAGAAUGUGGUAGAGGGUAGCGGAAUUCCUGGUGUAGCAGUGAAAUGCGUAGAGAUCAGGAGGAACAUCCAUGGCGAAGGCAGCUACCUGGACCAACAUUGACACUGAGGCACGAAAGCGUGGGGAGCAAACACGAUUAGAUACCCUGGUAGUCCACGCCCUAAACGAUGCGAACUGGAUGUUGGGUGCAAUUUGGCACGCAGUAUCGAAGCUAACGCGUUAAGUUCGCCGCCUGGCGAGUACGGUCGCAAGACUGAAACUCAAAGGAAUUGACGGGGGCCCGCACAAGCGGUGGAGUAUGUGGUUUAAUUCGAUGCAACGCGAAGAACCUUACCUGGCCUUGACAUGUCGAGAACUUUCCAGAGAAUGGAUCGGUGCCUUCGGGAACUCGAACACAGGUGCUGCAUGGCUGUCGUCACCUCGUGUCCGUGCACAUGUUGGGUUAAGUCCCGCAACGAGCGCAACCCUUGUCCUUAGUUGCCAGCGUAAGGUUGGGAACUCUAAGGAAACCGCCGGUGACAAACC